rnacentral:rRNA from 1 species
GAUGAACGCUGGCGGCGUGCCUAAUACAUGCAAGUCGAGCGAACAGACGAGGAGCUUGCUCCUCUGACGUUAGCGGCGGACGGGUGAGUAACACGUGGAUAACCUACCUAUAAGACUGGGAUAACUUCGGGAAACCGGAGCUAAUACCGGAUAAUAUAUUGAACCGCAUGGUUCAAUAGUGAAAGACGGUUUUGCUGUCACUUAUAGAUGGAUCCGCGCCGCAUUAGCUAGUUGGUAAGGUAACGGCUUACCAAGGCAACGAUGCGUAGCCGACCUGAGAGGGUGAUCGGCCACACUGGAACUUAGCCACGGUCCAGACUCCUACGGGAGGCCGCAGUAGGGAAUCUUCCGCAAUGGGCGAAAGCCUGACGGAGCAACGCCGCGUGAGUGAUGAAGGUCUUCGGAUCGUAAAACUCUGUUAUUAGGGAAGAACAAAUGUGUAAGUAACUAUGCACGUCUUGACGGUACCUAAUCAGAAAGCCACGGCUAACUACGUG